rnacentral:rRNA from 1 species
UGGAAGUAAAAGUCGUAACAAGGUUUCCGUAGGUGAACCUGCGGAAGGAUCAUUAAAAAAUAAUCACAGUUUUGUGAUUUUAAUAAUCAUCCUACCCUUUGUGAAUUUGUUUUGUUUGAAAAUUUAUGUUGUCUAUCCCUGGUGGUUUUGGAAAAGUUGAAAAACUUUUUCGAAUCCCAGGGACUAGGCUUUCAUAGACCUUUUUUUAAAUUAAACUUUUUGUAUUCAUUUGUCUAAAUUUAUUUUUAAUAAUUUAAAAACAACUUUUGACAAUGGAUCUCUUGGUUCUCGCAACGAUGAAGAACGCAGCAAAAUGCGAUAAGUAAUGUGAAUUGCAGAAUACGUGAAUCAUCAAAUCUUCGAACGCAUAUUGCACUUUUCUAGUUUACUAGAAAAGUAUGUCUGUUUGAGUAUCAGUAAAAUAUUCUCAUAAAAACAUUGUUUUUAUGGUUAUGAGUGUUUUACAACGAUAAACAAGUUGUUUCACUUUAAAUUGAUUUUUAAAAGCCAAUUUUGGUUUUAUCUAAUAAAAUUGGAUAAAAUUUUCCCGUAAAAAAGGAAUAACUUUUCAGUUUUAAAAGGUAAAACUUUAGUUGAGCCUAAUUAAAAGGAAAUUUAACAAAAUAACUUGAUCUCAAAUCAGAUAAGAGUACCCGCUGAACUUAAGCAUAUCAAUAAGCGGAGG